UGACAAGGUGGCUGCUCCAGAGGUGGCUGA
rnacentral:piRNA from 1 species